rnacentral:rRNA from 1 species
UACGUAGGGCGCAAGCGUUGUCCGGAAUUAUUGGGCGUAAAGAGCUCGUAGGCGGUCUGUUACGUCGGCUGUGAAAACCUGGGGCUCAACUCCGGGCCUGCAGCCGAUACGGGCAGACUAGAGUUCGGCAGGGGAGACUGGAAUUCCUGGUGUAGCGGUGAAAUGCGCAGAUAUCAGGAGGAACACCGGUGGCGAAGGCGGGUCUCUGGGCCGAAACUGACGCUGAGGAGCGAAAGCGUGGGGAGCAAACAGG